UACGAAGGGGGCUAGCGUUGCUCGGAAUCACUGGGCGUAAAGCGCACGUAGGCGGAUCUUUAAGUCAGGGGUGAAAUCCUGGAGCUCAACUCCAGAACUGCCUUUGAUACUGGGGAUCUUGAGUCCGGAAGAGGUAAGUGGAACUGCGAGUGUAGAGGUGAAAUUCGUAGAUAUUCGCAAGAACACCAGUGGCGAAGGCGGCUUACUGGUCCGGUACUGACGCUGAGGUGCGAAAGCGUGGGGAGCAAACAGG
rnacentral:rRNA from 1 species